rnacentral:tRNA from 1 species
ACCCCCGUAGCUCAGAGGUAGAGCGGCGAGCUGUUAACUCGCAGGUCGGUGGUUCAAGUCCAUCCGGGGGUA